CGACGGUUGGAUCUUUAUGAUCCAACAACUCCAAAUUCACCUCCAAUUUAAUUAUAUAACUAUCCUAAAAUGAGCCUCCCCUCCCCCAAAGACCUCUCAUCACUCUGUAUCUUUCACAUUCUUGUAUCUAACUCCAAAACCUUAGCCGCCCUAAUUUGCUCAACUGCCUCCGCCGUGGUUUGUCGACCAGAAAUCGCCUCACGGUAGCAGACCACCACCAAACACCACCAAAUCAACAUCCUGUAAUCCUCAUUCUCUCCUCGUUCUAAAUCUCCAAAUGGUUCCCCUCGAGUCCCCACCAAAAAAUUUGAAUCAUAUAACGAAAUUCAGAACCUCAAAACCCUAAGUCACCCAAAUACCACCAAAUUCACACCCUACAAUCCUCGCAUCCCUCUGAACCCUAAACUACCAUUAAUUCCCUUCGAAUCAUCCCCAAUUUCCUCGAAUCUUGAACUUGAAGCCCCAGGAAUCCUAAUUUUCUUUUACUUCCAGUUUUUGGCAGUUUUUGGGUCCUUUGAACCCAAGACUUCCAUGAAUCCAUUGCUCUUGAUAAAAACAGUCGAUUGAUGGUCGUCUAAAGUUUAUUUUUACCCCAAAAAUUUGGGACAGAAUCUGAAGAAGGUCCAGUUUUUAUUGUUGAAAGAAAUGAGCAAUAGGUAAUCUCUUGUACCUUUUUAUUUAGUUUUCUUUUGGCUUUGGUCGUUUUACCUUCAUGAUAAUUGUUUUUGAUUUACCCGUAUAAUUUAGAUUAUCUCUUCUUUUCUUCAAACUAUUUUUGGCUUCAUUAAUUGCAUGUUUAGAUUUCAUCAUUAGAAAUUUAAUUUGCCUAGUUUUAGCAUUUUUAGUUUCUGAUAAUCCUUUUAUUUUGUUUCUUUUUAUAUCAUGCUUGUUCUUCUUGCAAGUUUGUUUUAGUAUACAUUUGUUUAAUUAGGGUAGGAUUAAUGGUUAAUUAAUUACCUUAUUUAGCUAAUUCCUGAUUGACUUAGCUUUAGCCUGAUUCAGCCUUGUCUAAGUUAAAAUAGAUUAAUUCUUAUUUCUGAUGUUUCUUUGCACAAAACAUGUUGAAUCUCAUUAGUUGUUUGAAUAUCAGUUACAUGCAUUGAUUUCUUACACGUUUUGACUGCUUAUGGUUAAUUGAGUUUAAGUUUGUCAAUUAGGUUUCAAUCUUUAAAUAGAAAUGCCUACGUUAGUUUAAUUUUAGAAAAAGUAAAAUGCAAUACCCUAGGUUUGCAAAUUAAAGCAAACUAAUCUCUUGUUUGUUUCUAGAAGGUCUUAAAAUUGUUAUAAUUGAUUUGAAAUCAGAAUAUAGGAUAAAGCUAAAAUAGUCAGUAAUUAAAAGGGUAAAACUAGACUUUUACAUAGGCUAAUAACAGAAGGUUCUAUGUCUUUGGAUAGCUGCCCCAUUUUUAGCAAAGAAUGCUAAAAAUUGAGUGGAAAAGGAAAAAUAGUUGAAAAAGGCGUUUUACCAUUUUUAUUUUUAAAAUUUUAGGUUAGAAUAUUCCUUUUUAUGCCUUUUUGUGCACUCUAUAAAGGAAAAUAUUCCCUCACUCACACACACACAUUUAACAUCAUUCUCUGCACAAAAGGGUUUAUGAAAAACAUAAAGAGAUAUUAGUCUUUUCUUCUGAAAAUUCAUAUUGAUUCUGAAAAUACCAAGAUAGAUAAAAAAAAAAAACUCUAAAAAGAGUUUCUCUUAGCUGUGGAUUUUUCUGUAAACACUAGUUCCUUUUAGCUGGGGUUUGCUGGUUAAAGACUCGUUGGGUCUUUUUGCUGGUUUUUGAUUGGAAUUUCUAAGUAGUUGUUUUCUGAUUGCUGUUGAUUUAAGCUCCAAAUCAGCCUUGUUUACUGACUUUUAUUUGGUCCUCUUUUUGUUGUUGUUUUUGGAACAUUAUUAGAUAUGUAAUCACACCCCUUUUAUGGAAUGAAUCUUCUUAUUUAAAUCUAAAGUUCAAUUACUCAUGUCUGCUUUUUUAUAAUUCCAUGUGAUAUGCUAAGUUUAGUCAUUUAUUGGUUGCUGAUUCUUGUUGCUGUUGUUUAGGCAUUUAACCUCAGCUCUUUUCUCUAUGUAAUAUCAUGAAUGACUAGUUAAAAAUGAUACAAAAUCAGAUGUGUUAUAGAAUUUGUAGAAGUGAAUCUCAUUUCAUGCUAAGUAGAUAGUUUACAUUGAUGUGAAUGUGAUUAGCUUUGACUAUGUGAGUUUAAAGUUUGAGCAUGAAUAACCUAGCCAAUUCCUUGUAGUUUCAGUUUGCAAAAAUAGCUUUGUUCAUGUCCCUAGCCAACUCUUCUAGUUAUUAACGUUGAUUAUGGAAUUUUAGACAUUUUUUCUUCUUUACUUUAUCUGAGUAGAUAGCCUUUCCCCUGCUUAAAGCCAUUUGUCUUCUUUCUUUGUCUAUUUGGCUAUGAGCUAUUGCCUACAGAUUUGGCCACUAGUUGGUCAAAUCAGUAGUUUCAAGAGCUGAAAAGUGGAAUCAUGGUGUUUUUGAUAAGAGGCGGCCAAGCUCUAAUGGACAAAUCAUGUCCAAAAGAGGCAGGAAUUCUUUAUGAUGUCAGUUGUGAAGAUUUGUAAUAAUUUAGAUUUUAGUAUGGUUAGUUUAUGUACUAAGUCUUCAUGUAAGGUAUUGCUUUUGAAAAGUUGUUUAGUUUAUUUGGAGACUGUAAUAAAUCAGAUUUUUAAUGUCAUGUACUAAGACAUAAUAGGAGUUUAAUUAUGUGUUUGAUACAUUUUACAAAGUAGUAGUGGUGUUAACGAGAGGACUAUAAGCCCACUCAGUAGAACCAAAAGGCUGCUCAUUCGAUUAAAAAAGGGCUGAAUUAGUAGCCCAAGUGAAAGACUAACCUGAAAUGAUUUGGGCCUAGCCUAUAGGCCCAAACUUUGAGUCAUUCUAGGAGCCCUUUUAUCAUGGAUCAUUUUUAUGUUCAGUUGAUUAAUUUUUAGUACAGGAUCGUGUUCAAUCUUCAUAUUUUAUUUUUGUUUAAACAUGUAAUUUAAAAGCUCAUUUGUCAUAAGUGUGUAUGUAUAAUUUAUAAGUAGAGGUGAUAGGCUCAGACAUUAAACAAUUAUAAUUGGGCCCGUCUAUGGCUCAAUGU
rnacentral:lncRNA from 1 species